AUGCCAUAUGCCGCCAAGUAUGGAAAACACAAGAUUGGCCAUCAGAUAGGAAAAAAAUCAAUUUAUAUCCUCAUACCCAAAAAGGGAAAUGCUAAAGAAUGCUCAAACGUCUGUACAGUGGCACUUAUUUCCCAUGCCAGUAAGGUAAUUCUCAAGAUCCUGCAAGGCAUACUUGCCGGGGGCCGGGCUGUGGCGCAGCUGUUGAGCAGCUGCCUUAAAUCACUCUGACCAUGAGGUCAUGAGUUCGAGGCCAGCCCGUGGCGGGGUGAGCACCCGUCAAUUAAAAAUAAAAAAUAGCCCCUGCUCGUUGCUGACCUAGCAACCCGAAAGAUAGUUGCAUCUAUCAAGUAGGAGAUAAGGUACCACUUAUAAGUGGGGAGGCAAGAUUAACUAAUUUACGACCUGGAAUGAGGAAGUGCCGUCAGUGUGGAUGAUGAAGCAGCUGCUCCCCCCUGUGGCCAGAAUCGAACAUCCCCUCAGAAGAAGGUUAACUUGCCUCUGCGUGUGUCUCUCAGUCUCUGUUUGAUGUGUUUAUGGGCAUUGAAUGUUUGCCCUAUGUGUGUUAUAAUGUGAUCCGCCCUGAGUCCCCUUCGGGGUGAGAAGGGCGGAAUAUAAAUACUGUAAAUAAAUAAAUAAAUACUCCAACAAUACAUGGAGCGAGAGUUGCCAGAUGUCCAAGCAGGGUUCAGAAAAGGCAGAGGAACGAGAGACCAAAUUGCCAAUAUCCACUGGAUAAUGGAGGAAGCUAGGGAGUUUUGGAAAAACAUCUAUUUCUGCUUUAUUGACUAUUCUAAAGCCUUCCACUGUGUGGAUCAUAAUAAACUGUGGCAUGUUCUUGGUGGUAUGGGGAUACCAAGUCACCUCGUCUGUCUCCUGAGAAAUCUGUAUAAAGACCAAGUAGCCACAGUAAGAACAGACCAUGGAACAACAGACUGGUUCAACAUUGGGAAAGGAGUAUGACAGGGCUGUAUACUUUCACCCUCCCUAUUCAACUUGUACGAAUCCAAGGUUGGAGUUAAAAUUGCAGGAAGAAACAUUAACAGCCUUAGAUAAGCAAAUGAUACCACUCUGAUGGCUGAAAGUGAGGAGGAGCUGAGGAGUCUUAUCACCAAAGUGAAAGAAGAAAGUGCAAAAGCUGGGUUGCAGUUAAACACCAAGAAAACCAAAAUUAUGACAACCAGACUGAUUGAUGGCAAAUAGAGGGAGAAAAUGUGGAGGCAGUGACAGACUUUAUAUUUCUAGGCGCAAAGAUCACUGCAGAUGCAGACUUCAGCCAGGAAAUCAGAAGACGUCUACUUCUUGGGAGAAGAGCAAUGGCCAACCUAAAUAAAAUAGUGAAAACAGAGACAUCACACUGGCAACAAAGGUCCGCAUAGUUAAAGCAAUGGUAUUCCCCAUAGUAACCUAUGGUUGCUAGAGCUGGACCAUAAAGAAGGCUGAGCGAAGGAAGAUAGAUGCUUUUGAACUUUGGUGCUGGAGAAAAAUCCUGAGAGUGCCUUGGACUGCAAGAAGAUCCAACCAGUCCAUCCUCCAUGAAAUAAUGCCCAGCUGCUCACUGGAGGGAAGGAUAUUAGAGGCAAAGAUGAAAUAUUUUGGCCACAUCAUGAGAAGACAGGAAAGCUUGGAAAAGAUCAUGAUGCUGGGGAAAAUGGAAGGAAAAAGGAAAAGAGGCCGACCAAGGGCGAGAUGGAUGGAUGGGAUCCUUGAAAUGACUGACUUGACCUUGAGGGAACUGGGAGCAGCGAUGGCCAACAGGAAGCUCUGGUGUGGACUGGUCCAUGAGGUCACGAAGAGUCGGAAAUGACUGUGUGAAUGAAGAAGAAGAUAUGUGUUCACCUAUACCUAACGUGAAUUAUACUCAUAAAGAUAAUGAUCUAAAUCUAUUUUUUGUCCCAAAUAACAAAUACAUAAAAACAUAGAGAUUCUAUUGAUUCAGUGAGUCUACUCUAGUUGAAGUUAGCAAACUGGUUUUUAGGUCAACAUGGCCAAUUAGGUAGCAAGGCAUCUUUUGGGGUGCUAGUUUUUGGUUUUUUUUGUCUCCAUGUGAAGUUAUUUGUCCUUUAUGAGGAAAGUGGCUCUGUAUCUUUUUUAUACUGUAAUUGUGCGCUGAGUUUGUGCCCUUGAGCCUCUAAAAACAAGGAUUUGGCGCACUGGGUGCUUCCUUCUCACCUUUUCUGACUGCUUUUAUCUGAAUGGUUUUCUUUCUUCCUCCUUCUUUCCCUCAUUGCACAUGAUAUACAUGUAUGCAUUACUUCUGCUACAAUUUGUAUACUGAAUGCUAUCAUGAAGAAAAUCCAUUGUUUGCACCAAAGUGCUGUAGGAAGCAGCCCUGGGAAUUGCUCUAUCAUCCCAGCAUAGCUUCCAGAUAUAUUGCAAGGGAAAAUAGGUGGUGCCAAUGGAGAGUUGGUGCCCUGGGUUUUGAAACAAAAGAAGUAGAAGAUGCAGUGCCAUCUCCGCUGUCACUUUGCAUAGACACGGGUGCAAAACAAGCCUCAGAAUGAUCACCUGCUUGUCUGACGCCAGAGUUGAUGCCAGCAGGCUUGGUGGGGUUGUUUGUUUGUUGUUUAAUAGCUAACUACUUCAUUGGUACCGAACUCCUGUAAGCAAGGUGGCGCACAGAAAGGGAAGCUAACCUAUUACAAUCCUGAGAGGAAGGCACAGGGAAAUGUUUCAAGGUUUUAGCUGGCAGUGUAAGGAAUGUACGGUGCUAAUGCAGGGAACCGAGUCUCACGCUGUGUCUGCAGGAACAUAACUGGAAUUGCCUUCUGGAGGCUGAGCCAAGAGAAAGAGAGGAUGCACUGAGAGGCCCAGAAUGACUGAACUUUUCUUACCACUGUGUUGAGCUCUGAGGCAGGCCCUGUGUUUAAAAAUAGUCCUACAGUCCUCCUUCCUGUGUAGCUCUUUUCACAGCAAUUUGUUCUGAAGGAUGAAGUCAUGCUUGGAGCUUGCUGGUGACUAAAUGGGUUGUUUCCAGAAGUGUGCGGAGAAGCUCACAUACUGCAAGCUAAAAAAGAGAUAGUUAAGAGUUUGCCAGUAAUCUACCCAAAGAGGAAACAAAUGGAAGAAGGAAUAAAUAAAUAAAUCUGUCUUAAAAAUGUAAAACAUGAAAGGAUGAUGUAUGGGUUCCUUGAUUUAUGAAGCCAUCUGGAGAACUGGCAUUUGCACAGCUUGGUAUUUGACAGCUCAUGAUUUGAGGGUGGGUUUUUUUUUUUUUCAAAUCCUGAAUUUUGUAAAUGCAUUGAUCUUUCUCGGCUUUUUCUGUAUCUUGUAAUAGGGGUUUUAAAUGGGCACAGAGAAACAUUGAGCCUUUUAAUAUUUGGUAGAUAUUUCAGGGGAUCCACUUCUUACGACUAUCUUCUCUGCAUUUAAUUCAUUAGGAGCACUGUUUAAUUUUUGUUGUGUUUUGACAGUUGAGUGACCUUUGACUUCCUCAUUCAAGAAAAUUGUUUAGGCUGACAGAGGCUGAAAAGAGCUUUCAGGUUCGUGGCCCUUUUGAAACAAGCCGACCCUCCGUUUCUACAAACCCAAGUCCAGACGAAGCAAUUGCUUUUAAUCUAUAUAUUGCUCUGGUGAACAAGACAGAUCAAAGCCCCCUCUUAAACAUGUUUGAAAAAUGCACAUCCGCAUUGCGGUGGGGGAAAAGGGGGAGGCUGUAUGGAAAUCAAUAAUAUCUCAUUCAAGCAGACUCUAUGACUUUGACUUCAAAGUGACUUCAAUGUGUGUUCUCAAUUUCAAAAGAAAAUGAGGGCUGGCAAAGGGGGGGGGUGCGGCAAGGAAGAGGUGCAUGUUUUCUCUUCUAUUAAUUCUGUGCAUAAGCCAGCUGAGUUCUAGAAGGUUCCAUCACUGUUUGGCGAAAGAGAGCCUGCUGUGCCACAUUUGUUAACUGCCUGCACCUGUGACCACCACCAAAGACAAGGCAAAGCUGGAGGAGGUGCACAACAACUUACCACUUCCCUGCUUUUGGAAUGCAAAUGAUUCACACUUUUAUGAGAAAAUUGGGGAGGUGGGCAGGUUAAUGGAAGCCGGCCAUGGAAGCAGUUCUCGCCCAGCUGCUGGAGCUAUCAAGUAUUCUCAAAUAUACUACAAGGUCUCUUUGUAUACUGAAACAAGCUAACACGGCUAUAUCUUCGAACAUGGCUAUCUUUUUCAACACAUGUUUAAUCACUGCGCCCCCCAACCUCCGCAGGGGUGGAGGACCCAAAAUGGUCCGCCCCAGGAGGCUUAUGGAUCCGGAUGGAUUCCUGACAGCUCUUGGGGAAUUUCCCGCCACCUCGGCUGGUGACCCUGUCGAUGCUCUGGUCGCCCUCUGGAACAAGGAGGCGGCUAGGGCAAUAGACACGGUCGCUCCGGAACGUCCCCUCUCAAGUACCCGAGCUAAACCAUCUCCUUGGUUCACCGAGGAGUUGGCAGCGAUGAAGCGAAAGAAGAGGGGACUAGAGGGUGUGUGGCGUUCGGAGCCAAGCGAGCCAAACCGAACACGGCUGUGUUCCUAUCUUAGGGCAUAUGCCGCGGCAAUAGAUGCUGCAAAGAACAUUUUCUUUGCAGCUAAUAUUGCGUCUGCAAAGAACCGUCCGGCGGAGCUGUCCCGAGUUGUCAGAGGUUUGUUAUAUCCCGUCCCUCAAGACGGGAUCCCUGACAACUCGGCAGCCCGCUGUGAAGCAUUUGCUCGGUUCUUUGCGGACAAAGUCGCUUUGAUCCGUUCUGGCUUUGACACCAUAUUAACGGCAGUCUCCGAGGAUGUAGCAAGAGCACCUGCUUGUCCUAUUUUGAUGGAUUCGUUUCAAUUGGUUCAGCCUGAGGACGUGGACAAGGUGCUUGGAGAGGUGAGGGCUACCACAUGCAUCCUAGACCCCUGCCCAUCCUGGCUAGUGAGAGAAGCCAGAGGGGGAUUGGCCGAGUGGGUGAAGGUGGUGGUGAAUGCCUCCCUUCGGGAAGGCAUAUUUCCAGCGAGCCUUAAAUUGGCUGUGAUCAAACAGCUGUUGAAGAAGCCAUCACUGGACCCCACUCAAUUGGAUAGCUAUCGGCCUAUUUCCAAUCUCCCCUUUUUGGGCAAGGUCGUGGAACGUGUGGUGGCCGCACAACUCCAGGCAUUCUUGGUUGACACUGAUUUUCUAGAUCUGGCGCAGUCUGGUUUCAGGCUGGGGCAUGGUACCGAGACAGCCUUGGUCGCCUUAGUCGAUGAUCUACGCCGGGAACUGGACAGGGGGAGUUUGUCCCUACUGGUUCUGCUGGACCUCUCAGCGGCCUUCGAUACCGUCGAUCACGGUAUCCUUCUGGGGCGCCUUGCCGGGAUGGGUCUCGGAGGUACUGUUUUGCAGUGGCUCCAGUCCUUCCUGGAGGGGCGUUCCCAGAUGGUGUCAUUGGGGGACACCUGCUCGGCCCCACAACCAUUGACUUGUGGGGUCCCGCAGGGUUCAGUACUGUCCCCCAUGUUGUUCAACAUAUACAUGAAGCCGCUGGGAGAGAUCAUCAGGAGUUUCGGGGUUCGGUGUCAUCUGUACGCAGAUCCCACCUCCUUCCCACCUGUCACUAAGGAGGCUGUUCAGGUCCUGAACCGGUGUCUGGCCUCUGUGUCGGACUGGAUGAGGGCGAACAAAUUGAAACUGAAUCCAGACAAGACAGAGGUCCUCCUAGUCAGUCGCAAGGCUGAACAGGGAAUAGGGUUACAGCCUGUGUUGGACGGGGUCGCACUCCCCCUGAAGACACAGGUUCGCAGUCUGGGGGUUCUCCUGGACUCAUUGCUGAGCCUGGAGCCCCAGGUCUCGGCGGUGGCCAGGGGAGCCUUUGCACAACUAAGACUUGUGCGCCAGCUGCGCCCGUUCCUUGGGAAGUCUGACUUGGCCACGGUGGUCCACGCUCUGGUUACAUCCCGUUUGGACUACUGCAACGCUCUCUACGUGGGGUUGCCUUUGAAGACGGCCCGGAAGCUCCAAUUAGUACAACGGGCGGCAGCCAGAAUAAUAACUGGGGUGGCUUAUAGGGAGCGUACCACCUCCCUACUUAGCCAGCUCCACUGGCUGCCGAUAUGCUACCGAGCCCAAUUCAAAGUGCUGGUUUUGACCUAUAAAGCCCUAAACGGUUCUGGCCCAAUCUACUUGUCCGAACGUAUCUCCUCCUAUGAGCCAGGAAGAUCCCUAAGGUCAUCUGGAGAGGCCCUGCUCUCGGUCCCGCCUGCCUCACAGGCACGGCUGGUGGGGACGAGGGACAGGGCCUUCUCGGUGGUGGCUCCCCGGCUGUGGAACACCCUCCCCAGAGAAAUACGGCAAGCCCCAACCCUUUUGAGUUUUAGAAAAGCCCUGAAAACAUGGCUAUGUGCCCAGGCUUUUGAAGAUUAAACGAUAAUGACGACCCGGACUGAUUUACGGCUACAGCACGAGGAUUUUGGAGGAAUGGAUUUUAAUAAUAUGUUUUUUAUAUUUUUUAUAUUGUUUUAAUUGUUUUAUUGGAUUUUUAUAGCUGUUUUAAUUAUGUAUAGGCAUCGAAUUGUUGCCAAUUUUGUACGCCGCCCUGAGUCCCUUCGGGUGAGAAGGGCGGGAUAUAAAUGUUGGAAAUAAAAUAAAUAAAAUAAAGUAUUGAAGUUAGAAUUUUUUACUGAAUUUGAGAACAUUACUUUUCUAACCUGCAACUCCUGGUAUGGUCACUAUAUUUGAUGACUGUAGGUUUCUUGAAGAUGAAGCCCAAAUGUAAGCUGCCCCAUUCCCCUUUUGAGGUGAAUCUUCUUCCAUCUUUCUGAUCUAUGCCGUACAGGUAAAUCAUAGAUUUUGUGCAGUAUUCUUUAAAACAUUUGUUAGGAAACCAGUCAUAAGCUACAAGCUUAACUGAUAAGCUCCUGGCUUUUCCAUAUUUAAUCAUCAUAAAUAAAGGGGCAUUUAGAGUGGUAGAGGUCAUCUUGGUUUCCUCAGUAAAAAUUAGGACAUUUAAUUUGCUGCUUGGUGUGCAAAAGAUCAACUUCCUGCGUAUUAAUUCAGGAUUUUUCCAGCCUUAAUCUUGCUAACUAAUGGCAAUGCAAAUGCUGGCUUGCUUUUUUUUUUAGGCCUAGUCUGCUUUAAUAUACAUUAAAAACCUGCUUGCUUUUGCUCAGGUUGAUUUACGUGAAACCAGUAACUUUCAUUAAUGCAAGGAGGUCUUUCUAGACAUAUGUGUUGUCGAAGGCUUUCAUGGCCGGGAUCACAGGGUUGUUGUAUGUUUUCCAGGCUGUAUGGCCAUGUUCCAGAAGUAUUCUCUCCUGAUGUUUUGCCCACAUCUAUGGCAGGCAUCCUCAGAGGUUGUGAGGUAAUACAGCCCGGAAAACAUACAACAACCCUGUUUCUAGACAUACUUUAUUCUGAUAAUUCUUUCUAGUUUCACUAUUGUCUUCAGAUGGGUUAGAGUGGAAUAUACACGAAAGGAAGAAAUGCAGUUCCUGGACAAAAAUCUCUGUGGAUUCAAAUUUGUUGUAACUGGUCCUAAAACAGAAAAGGGGGAACUGAUUGAUACGUGGCAUGUGAUUCUGGCAAGUAACAAAUUGACUCCGAACAACAUUAACCAAGCUCAAAGAAGAUCACCCUGGUGUAAAUGGAAACAGCUUCCUCAAGUAUGGUUAUGGCUUGAAUUGUAGGAGCAGCAGCCAUGUAUCAUGUUGCAGUUGGAACCCAUUGGGACACAAUUCCUUUGCACUUGCCUCUCUGUCCCACCAUUUCUUAAUAUCUUAUCAAUUUAAAAUUAUAGGUAAUGUUGCAUGCAGGAACCGAAUUAAAUUGGUGACUGAACUGAUUCAUAUGCUUGAAUUCUUUGCUGAGGAUAGAGCGGCCUGAAAAUAUUCAGUGGUUGUUUUUUUAUUUACACAACAAACAUACUGUUUUUUUCACUUGAUUUGUGAAUGCAAUUCACAUCAUAAACAUGGUUUCAUUCCCAUGUCUACUGUGGAAUCAGAUAGGAGGAUGUAUGCCUAAGGUUAGAGAGUCUCUUUCAUGCAUAUGAUAAAGUAGUCUGUUGCUCAACAAGCCUCAAGGGACGAUAAAUUGAUCAUUCUACAAAGUACUGCAGGUAUAUUUGUUUCACCUUGAUAAGUACCCAGUAAUGCAGUUAUUUUUCUGCAAUUUGAUUCUCUCAAAGGAGUCAUAGUCUAUUGAGGUGGUCAAAGUUUCCAUGCCCUAAUAUAAAAACUUGUUUUUGUUAUUCAGCUUCUGGCCACCACUUCUUAUGGCUUUUCUGGACAAGAUUUAUUCAGAGCAGGCUUUCAGGAAUUGAGAUAUAAGAUUUUUCCUCAUAGAGCAGCAAUUUCAUCUGUAUGACAUAUCUUUCCUAAUUAAUAAAAUAAGUAUCUCUGUCAGAUAUCUUGACCCAUGUUAAUAUGCUCCUUAAAUCUUCAAACAAGACCAAAACAAUGACGAAAAAGUUGGAAUUGUGGCAUCAUUGCUUAUUGAAUAAAAACUGUGAGACAUUUCCAAAUCCUGCAUAUUUUGAGUUGCACCUUCGAAGAGUUAUCCGAGGAGAACACAUCACUUAUCUCACACCAUUUGAAAGAAACAUUUGAAAGUUUCUGUUAUUAUUUUCCUGUUCCUGAUGCAAACAAAAACUAGGUUCGAGAUCCAUUUUAAGUUAAUGUGUAUGUACUAAAAGGACUUACAGCAGCAGAACAAAACACGGUCAUAGAAAUAUCCAUGAAUGGUGCUCUGAAAUUUCAGUACCAGGAGCUGCCCAAAAUAUAUGGGACUUUUGAAGAGGAUUGAAAGUUUGGAUGCCUUUCAUAAUGAUAUAUGUGUGUGGAAAAAAAACAUUGCUUUUAUUUAUUUAGAAAUCAGAAUACAAACGUUUUGAAAAUUGUAUUGCCAGAACUCAGAAUACGAGUUUCAGAUAUUAAGCCGGAUAUAACAAGGCUUGUUAAGUGAAAGGCAGCACCUGCCUUCUCAUUAGUUAAUUAAAAUUAACAAGAAAUUUUGGGCCAUAGUUCAGUGUUUGAGUAUCAUCAUCAUUUAAAUUGUAUGGAAUCAUUCCAACAAUAAUAUUAUGAUAGAAUGUGUGCAUUUGCUUAUUUCUACCUUCUCUCCAAAUUUGAAGAUGAGCGCUUUUGUUGUUUAUUUGUUCAGUUGCUUUCGACUCUUGGUGACCUCAUAGACGAGCCUACGCUAGAGCUCCUUCAUGAGCGCUUUGGGGCUUUACAUUUUGAAUUAAGUCUUGGUGGUACAUGACAACAAAAAUAUUUUAAGACGAUCUCUGGUAAAUAAAUGUUUAUAAGGCUAUUGAUGGGGACUUUCUCUCUGUUCCAUAGGUGGCACCAACCUAUCAUGUAGGUACAUGUGAAAGAGUCUUUUCAGCGGCUGCUUCUAGGCUGUGUAAUUUAUAUUUGUUCUUCUUCUACUGGCAAGUAAAUACUUUUGUAUUUAAACAAGCAUUAGAUUGUACAGGUGAUUCUCUUAAUAGGCUGUGUGUGCUAUCCUUUUUCUUUGUUUUAUUUAAUUGUUUUAUACUGAUUAAAUUAGUGCUGUUUAAAAGGAUUGUUGAUUUGGUUGUUUUGUUUUUAAAGACUCCUUUUAACCUUCAAGUAUUUAGCAGUCCUUUGUUUUUAGUCUAUGAUAUAUACUGCCUUGAUUCCAUUUUGGGAAAAAGUUAGGAUAUAAAUAAAAUACAAUACAUGAGAUAGUUUAGGAAUCUGAGCCAAGGAACAUUCCUUGCUUGCCCUAAUGAUGCAAAAGGUCUUUGAGACUUUUAGAAGAUACAAGUAGAAGGGGUUCAUUAUGAUGUUGAUGUCAACUCAGAUUAAAAGCUGGCUGAGGAGUGUUUUUUUCUUUUUCUUGGGUUUGUUUUGCUUGGAAAUAUUUUGUCAUCAUGACUUCCAUGUACUUAAUAAGUCCAAGGAGAGAAGAUGUGAACGUGUCUGAUUAUAAAUAAAAACAACAGCCAGCCAGACAAAGAAGUUUCAGACAUGGAGCAGGUGCUUAAAAUUCCACAAAACAAUGCCCUAUGGAACAAACAGGAUGCCCUCAGAACAGCCAGGAGAAUCUGGACAAAGUGUUGACACAGUGAAAGGCAGGCCACAGGUGCAGCCUGAGUGCUUUCUCCACUAAGGUUUCUUCUUUUAGUUUUCCUUCUGUUUACAAGUAUGAACUAUAGGCAAUAUUAUUCCAGCAAUACAUGAUUUUAUCACUUACUAUGUGCAAUAUUACACAUGAAGUAAUAAACAAAUGAGAUAGGGGUAGGCAAUUUGUGUUCUUAUGUCUAUUUUUGGAUUGCAGCUUCCACCAUCCCUCACCAUUGGCUGUGCAUGCUAGGGCUAAUAGGACAUCUUUUGCAGGAUCAUUGUUCAUCUACAGUAAUAAUCAUUAAUAUCAUCAUAAUGUUUUUUAAAUUUCUUGCCUCCCUGUCCUCACAACUCGAGGUGGGUUACAACAUUGUAAAACACACAUUCAAUAAUAAUAAUAAUAAUAAUAAUAAUAAUAAUAAUUAUUAUUAUUAUUAUUAUUAUUUAAUUUCUUGCCUGACUGUCCUCAUGGCUCAAGGUGGGAUACAACAUUGUAAAACACACAGUCAGCUAAAAAGAUUCUUUAAAAUAAACAUAUUAAAACAUAUAUCCACAAGAUAACAUAUUAAAAUACACAAAACAUAGAUUAAACAUAAGAUUAAAAUUGUCUGGGUAGGCCUGCCAGAAGAGAUAGGUCUUCACUUGUGUCUUAAAUUGCAACAGCUGAUUUAGACUGGCAGGUCAUUCCACAGCCUUGGGGAGGCCGAUGAAAAUGUUCUCUGGGUGACGGUGGCCAGUCGGGUUCUUACAGGCUGGAGUAAAUGCCCCCCAGAGUACCUCAGUGUUUGGACUGGAUUGUACAGAAGAAGGCGAUCCUGUAGAUAACCUGGACCCAAACCAUGUUAGGCUUUAAAGGUCAAAACCAAUUCUUUGUACUUUGUCUGGAAACUAAUUGGCAGCCAGUGGCGUGGCUUUAGGAUAGGUAUGAUAUGUUCACUCCUGGGUAUUGCCGUAACCAAUCUGGCUGCUGUAUUUUGAAUCAACUGGAGUUUCCAAACUUGGUACAAAGGUAGCCCAAUGUAAAGUGCUUUGCAGAAGUCCAACCUUGAGGUUACCAGUGCAUGCAGUAGUCUCAGUAGUCAAGGAUCGGAAUCUACCACAGUUCAUCACAUAAUAGUCACCAUCACAUAAUAGUCACACACCCUUUUUGAGGGGGGAGGGAAAAAGUGUGACUAUUAUGCAAUGAAAUACAGCAUUUCACGCUCACUAUAAAGUUCUGAUUCAGGGGCUAAUUAGAAAUCUCUAAGAUAUUAUAAUUCAAUGUCCUUAUCCAUAGAUUUGCUAUCCAUAGUUAUACUUUUGUUUGUGAGUUUCACUAGGCCCUCCAGCGAGAUUCUAUGGGAUGCUUCCAUUCCAAAUACAGUGAAAGUACAGAUUUCACUAUUAUCCAUGGACUGUAUCCUGCAUAUAUACAUGAGUUGGAUUGGAUUUAUUGUCUUAAUCUUGUUUAGAGUUCAAGAAGAUAGAAAUAAAAAAACAGAGCUAAUAUCUGUAUACAAUUUCUUAAUUUUAAAAAAAUUUUGAGGAGGGAGGCGGGAGCAAGCAAUAUCUUUAAAAACAAAAUGCAAAAACCACUUUAGUUAGGAUUUUAACAAUAUAGCCAGUUAAAAUGUAUGAAGAGAAUAGCUAUUAUCAAUCCAUAAACCAUUCCACAAAAGGAAGCUCUUUUAGCAUUUGAGAGAAAGGAAAGGAAAAUAAAUUUCUGUUCAAAAAUUAUUAAAGGGAGCAUCCAAACAAUCUUUUAUUUGGUAUGUAAAAUUAACUUAAAAUAAAUAGAAACUUUAAAAAUACAAUUGUCUGAAAUAUUUUUAAAAGUAAACAAUAAAGUACAUAAUGUAAACAUUUGCCUUAGUUAGGCCUUGGGUGAUAACAAGCUUUGUUAAAAGAACCUAUCUGACUAAUAAUUUCACAAGAGAACCACAUUUGAAGUAGAAUAAUUAUUGAUACUAUUUGGGAGGAAAAAAACCCAUUAUUUCAAUGUAAACAUUUGUGGUUUGCAAUAGAAAUACAGAGAUUUGAAGGUGCAGGCUUCUUUUUAUUGUGAGAGAUUGUAUUUUAAUAAUGCCCAUUGUUAAAGAAGCCCAUAGAAAUGGCAGGCAAUUAAUUUCAAGGCUGCUUUACCCUCCGUUCCUCCAUCUUUCUUCUAUUUUGCCAAUAAACAUGUUUGAACCAGGUGUUAAUUACAAGCACCAAUAAAGCCACAGAGCUGUUCUUGUUCUCUUGGGGGAAAUGACUGGACUCAGCACUUUGCUGUUAUGUUCAUUUAACUUAUUUACUGCACUUAAGUUUCCCCAUCUGGUUUUCUGUGUUCUGAAGAAAGGGUUGGAGGGGUUGGAGGGAAGGGGGGUCUUGGUUGCCUAGGAUAUUUUGUCCACAGUGGGCAAUCUCUUUGAAAGCUACCUAUAUGAAAUGCAAUGGUGUCCUCUCCAUCAAGCUGACAUUUUAUCUGCAGGCGAAAUGGCUUCUUGCAAAAUUAUCCUGAAUUACAUUGCUCUGUUUUGUGUCUUUGUAGAGUAAACCUUUAAGGGAGGUUGUGGACAUGGUGUGUGUACUCUUUGUUUCCAUUUUCUUUCUUUCUUACCUAUAGUCUUCUUUAUUCAGGAAGAUCAAUGUGGCUUACAAAUGGUUCCUCAUAUUCCUUUGUCCAUUGCAAACCUUGGUCGCCUCCUUUUUUCAGAUUGGCAUGGAUCUGGUCUCUUACAGACAGCCUCCCUAUCCAUGGAUUUUGCAUCCAUGGAUUCAAUCAUCUAUGGUUUGAAUAUAUUUUUAAAAUCCAUUAAGCAACUCUUGAUUUUGUUAUUUUAAAGGGAUGCCUUAUUACUAUGCCAUUAUACGAGGGUUAAAUGAAAAAUAAUGCUUCCACCUAUGUAACUCCUCCACAGAUGGCAGUACUGGUAUGCGGCAGGUACUGGCUUGUUCAGUAGACUCUCCUCUACAGGUCCAUUUGGCGGGAAGCCUUAGUAUUGAACGGUUGUGUUGUUAAAGUGUGAAGUAUGGAACCCUGCACAGACGGUCGGUCAAUGCAACUUAAGCAAUGUGCAGUCAUUGAAUUCUUGACAGCAGAAGGUGUCAUCCCAAAGGAGAUUCAUUAGAGAAUGCAAGCUGUUUAUGGUGAUUGUGCUGAUGUGAGUACUUUGCAUCAUUGGGCGAGUAAGUUUAAAGAUGUUGAGGUGGGAACAUCUCACUUGCAUGACAAACAAAAAGUUGGAUGUCCUGUGACAGCAACCACCGAGUUUCACAAGCAAAAGGUUGACAGAUUGAUUCAAGAUAAUCGUCGUAUCACUCAGAGAGAAAUUUCAAGCAUAAUUGGCAUUUCACAAGAACGUAUGGGUCACAUUAUUGCUUUGCUUGGCUAUCAGAAGAUCUGUGCACGAUGGGUACUGUGAGACGCUGGUUGCGGAAACAGAGUGUCGACUUUUUCCAUGAUGGCUUCAGAAAACUUGUUCAUCAUUGGCAGAAAUGUAUCUAAUUGGUGAUUAUGUGGAUAGGUGAAUGAAUAGUGAUAGUUAAAGAGCACAUUCUAAGGAUUAUUUCUGUGUUUAGUCCCUGGAUCUGGCUUGCUUACUCCACCCUCCCUCAUUGGCAGGAAGGGAGGAGUAUCCGGUGGUCCUCUGGGGUGCAUUGAUACCGCUGGCUGGUUUUGGUUCCGGUAGCACCCCAGUUUGGUUUGAGUCAUCGGUCAGCAGCAGGCUGACCGAUCUUUGAUCCAGGACCCAUGCAUGGCAGCCAACCCUUGUUCUGUAACCAAUAAAAAAACUGUGGCCUAUUUUAUACCCAAAAAAUGUCUCGUGUUGUUGUUCUUGGUUCCCCUUCCCUCCACUGAGGUGUGUCGCCCAUACACACACAAUAUUUCUGUGUUUGAUUUAUUAAAAUAUUCCCAUCCAAAACCAAGUAACGAAGGUGGAGGCAUUACUUUUCAUUCAACUCUCGUAUAUAACUUGGUGUUUUGGCAUCCCUGGGGGAACCAAACUGCAGUGGAUGCCACUGUACUUUGCUUUUCAACAUAAGGAUUGGGUGCUCUUGGACCAUUUAAAAAGUAUUUUUAUUUAAACCCAGGAUUUGAAACUGGGCUCAGAAAUCAACAAACCGAGAUAACAACUUGUAUUCUUUGUUUUAAAGCACAUUUCUAGGCCAUAUUGAUGUAAAGACAAACUCAAAAUCAGGCAGCAAUUUGUAAGUGUUGGGUGUUGGUGACAGGCAGGGUCAUAAUGCUCUGAAUUAUUCAUAGCUAUCAAUAUCAGAAGUGAAAUAAGUAAAUUUAUGAAAAUCUGUUUAUAUGAAAGCAUGUUUAAUAUGCAUGAUUUCGUUUUUCUCUGUGCACAUUUUUGUUUUAGUUCUUUCAAUGCCUUGCAAGGCAGUUCUAUAUAUAUGUCAGUUAAUUUAUAUGCUGUUCGUUUAAAAAUAUGGAAAAGAACUUACAAACACUUUUAAAUGCUGACUUCAAAAACUAAAAUAAAAGCAUACAAUAAAGACCACAACUAUGAUAAAAGUCCCUAGACUCAGUCUCCAAUGAAAUUUUAGUGGAUAGACAGGACUAAUAUUCCAUAUGGCUUUUAGAGCUGUAUUUAUUGUGUAUGUGUUUUAAGGGUUUCCCCUGCCAAAUGUGUUUUCAUUUUAUUUUUUAUCUCCUAGAGACCACCUUGAGAUUCCUCAUGCACUGAACACUAUUUUUUUUUUAAAAAAAACUAUUUAAUAUCACAAUGGGCCCUCAAUAUAGCUUGGGGUUUUGUUCCAGGAUCUACCAUAGAUACCAAAAAUGUGGAUGCUCAUGUUCCAUUAUAUACAAUGCAUAAUAAAAUGGAAUCUUUUAUAUGAAAUCAUGAAUGACACAAAGUUUGUAUUUUUGAAUAUUUUUGGUCAGUGGACUCAGAACCCAUGGAUACAAUUGGCCGACUGUAAUAAAUAAGCAGUCUGUUUGGUAUUAAAAGAAGUGAGUCACAAUUUAAAGACUUAUUACAUAAAACACAGUAAUCAGACAGCUAAAGAGAUGAACCUCUUUUCUGCAAAGGUUGAAUUCCAGCAGAGCAAAUUUUUCAUGGCCAUGGGUGGGACCAAAAUGGCUAUAGAGCCAGAUGCAAAAAAACAAUGGCAUCACCCUUUCUUAUUCUCCCUCACCCUCUGACUUUCUGCUAUACUUAUUUUCAACUUUUUCUUAUUGGCAAUGCCGCCCACUCACUUUUCUUUUCCCUUUUCGCUCCCUUCCUGUCCAGCAAGAUUCUGGAGGAUACAUUGCUCUUGACUGGGCUGAUUGCAGAUUGGUCUCUGCUAGGCUUCCUCAACACUCAGCUGCCAUGACUCAAUACUGGGAUUUGUAGUUUGGUGAGGUACCAGCAUUUUCAUGAUUCCAUAAUGUUGUCUGAAACAGGGACCCAAAAAGUUCCUGGGGUCCAAAAAUGGCAGAGUUAUCCCUCUCGGCUAUGAAAGCCAGGAGAAUGACCUCUUGGCUGAGCCACAUACAACUCCACAUUCCUUUCCCAACAAUUGAUAAAUUCUGAGAAGGGUGCAGCUAAAGCCGCUGGAAAAAUAAGUUCUGAGAAUGCCUCGAUCCUAUUCACAACACAAUGGAUUAUUAGAAGCUAAAACCCAUCAGUUCAGAAUGGCCACCCAUUGUCUCAUCAAGGGAACCUUCCAUUCUGCCAGCCGAUAGCAACCAAUACACAUUGUUUACUCAAAAUAAUCCCCACAGGCAGAAAAGGGCAGCACAGAUACAGGAGGUGGUUUCAAUAAUUAUUCCAAUAAAAACUUUUUUAGAUACCUCAUCAGACAGGUGUAGAGCUUUAUUUACACGCAUUGUGGUAAUAGAACCCCAUGGGAAUCCUACACAUGACGUAAGGGCAGUUCUGGUGGGAUUCCAUUGGGCUCCUUUUCCACAGCACAUGGAAUCGGAGCCUGAUAUCCAUCUUCAGAAAUUGGAUGUUACCCGACUCCAAACAGCCAUAAGAUGGCUUGCCAUUCCACACGAUGGGGAAAGACAUUUAUUUCCCUUUGCUUUCCCCCACUUUCCCUCAUUCCCCCCUCACUCUAUCUGAUGAAGUCCUAGGUUUCAUGCUAUACUGUUUCCUGUCAUACUGUGCACCAGUCACAGACUGUAAAUGAAUGUACUUUUGAACCUAUAAGAUUGUGGAUCAUAAUUUGCCUCCAUCUCAGCAGAUGUCUAUUCUUUCAGAUGUCUGUUAAAUGCCCAUGCUUGUAACUGUGGUUCAUGUUGGAUGUAGGAAACUUUUCCCUGAUGUCCUUCUUUGGCCAGCGGAGGAAUAAAUGAUCUCUAUGUGUCUCUAGUGGAAUUGAUUGGAGCUGCCACAAUGAGAAAUGGACCCGGAGAUUGUGGACAUCAAUAAAACUAAGCCAUAGCAGUUAAAGUUAUGUCAAAUCACAUUCUUUCUACAGUGUAGAUGCACUUCUAGAGAAGAGAAAAGCUGUCUGGUCUCUUUAGGAAGCAUAGUCCAUAAUCCUGAUGCCAUCAUUAAGUAGACUCUGACUUGGGUAACUGGAUAACAGAGUACAGUGUGCAUUUUCAAUAUGUGUGGUGUCAUAUGAAUAAUUCCAAAAUAAUACCUAUGAUGAGAAUUGUUACAAUUAAAUGUAAUUGUAGAUAAUGAUGAUAAUUUUAAACCAGAUCUUGGAAGGUUGUUCAUGAAUGUUACUCAUGGCAUUUAUUAAAAACUAACUUUUUACAUUACUCCACGAUGACAUUUUAUAUCUAACUUGUUAUCUUUGUUAUUUUCAUCAUUUCUUUUUGUUGCAUAUUAAUUUCCUUUAAAAAGAACCACUCUAUUAAGAAAUUUUCAAAAAUUGGAAGAACAAGACCUACAAAACCUUUUGCCCCUCCAAAGGAAUUGUCAUAGACAGAACGCCACCAAAUAGAGUACAACACAGUUUAUUGAGGUUACAGAACUAAAAAAUGCCCGUAGGAAACAAAGGACUAGGCAAACACUUGUCUUCAGUGUGAAAAGUAACAGAAACAGCUUCGUUUGAAUUAAAACGGUUCGAAAGAAUAAACCGGAUUAAACAGGAGUUUAAUCUGGAUUAAAUCAAAAGUGCUUACUUCAGCCUGGCAAUUUAAACAAACAAAAGUUGGUAAACAGAGGUCAAAAUGAACACAAAAAACUGGCAGCAGAUUCCUCUCUGCUACUCAAAAGCUACAGAUGAGUAACUCAGGCUGUUUACUCCUCCGUGCAACGAGCGAAAUCCAGGUCCAGGCACAUCUAUCAGGGUAACGGCGGUCAGCAGGGUCCCAGUCCGGUCCAAGGUCGAAAGCCAAGCGCAGACGUCUAAAGUUCCACAAGUUCCACCGAUAGCCACAGAAGGGAUAGUCCAAGGUCGUAGUCAGUCAGUCAGUCCAGCGUCAAUCCAGAGUAGGUAAUUAAUGUCCGUCAAAAAGACGACGGAGGUCCAAGCUAUCAAGAUUAAACACAAGUUGCACAGAAAAACCCCACACAGUUCCUCCCGCCGUCUAUGCCCAGUGUCCUUGGUAACUUACGUAUCCAGCAACGAAUCACACCCGUCUUCAGGAAGUCCCCCAACAAGAGCCCAAGCGUUCGUCCAGAUUACCUUGCCCAACGCAAUUAGCCAUUGAUCCUAAACCCCAUUUUAUCCCAGUUCAUAACUCCACAUCGCUGUCAGCUGCUAUCCUAAUUCCAGGUGCCUCAUCAUCAUCAUCCUCAUCAGAGCUAAAACACCUUUGACUACGCCCCACAGCAUCCCCAGCUGUGGAUCCCGCUCCAUCCCUCCAGCCCGUCCACGGGUCCGAUCCUGCAACCCGCCAGUCGCCUCCCAUGCUAUCAUUGCCAGUGACACCCAAAUCCUCCCUCACACGAGUCCAUUCCAUGUCAUCCUCCUCUGAGCUAACCAUCUCUUCCUCCAUUCCCUCGGUAAAACCCUCAAAGGAGUCUUCGUCUGUUGGUUCUGCAAAUAAGUCUCGGAGCCGUUUCCUUUCGCGCUCCUCAAGAGAGUCUGACUCUCGAGGAGUCUUACGACCCCGUCUCCUAGUAUCGGAGCCAGAAGGCUCAACCAUAACAGGAAUCUUGUUUGUUAUGUAGCCCAUCAAUUUCUUGUUUCUGAAUUAUUAUUCCUCUUUUUACUUGCUGAAAUAAUAAAUUACAGGUAUGUUGUUACUUGUAAUUUGUGUUUCAAAUUUCAAGCAGUGAGAAUUGGCAUUGAAAGAAGGCAAAUCUCUUUGCUUGGUGAUUUAAAUAAAAGCAAAAACAAGGACAUUCAGUCAAGGUAUAUAUAGAAGACAAGAUAUACUGAAAUGAUUUGCCAUUGAUUUUGCCAUUGAGCUGUAUAAAAGUGAGCCAUGUUGUUGUUUUUUCCUCUGGUGGACAUGACCUAAAUGUUUCAAAAAAUGGUGGGUAAAAUAAGAAAAAAUAGCUUUUUAUGUGUUUGCUAGACACUUUGAGCUAUUUUAUUACAUACACCUUUAAAAAGCAAUUUAAAAAUUCCACUAUGUGGAUAAAUUGCCACGGUCCACAAUGACAAAUGCUCUGAAUGUAUGACAAUGCCUUCCAUCUUCUGAUAAAUUACUGACCAGUCAUGGAAGCCUGAAAUAGUUAUUUCAGUGGACUUGGUGGUUUGAGAAAUAAUAAAUUGUGACACCAGGAUGUGUUUUCUAGAGUACUUGUCCUGCCAUUGAGUAGAGUGAGGCAGUUGCUUAGGCAGCAGAUUUAUUUGGAUGAGUCCUCUUUAAUGCUGUGAGAAUGUGAAAUCCCACCAGCAUAGUGAUUCCAGAGGACGUGGGAAGAUCAGGUCCCUGGCCAGGCCAUCUGCUUUAUAGGAGGGCCUGAGUUCUUCCAAGUGUCAUACAUUUACAAUCUAUAAAACAGUGAUGCCAUUAUAGAGCUGAACAAAAAUGCACAAAAGACAUCAUGUAAACCUUUGAAGUUCCAUUGCCUUUAUUAGACAAAGGUGUUAAAAUCACAGGAGGGGAAAAUGAUGAUUUUAGAGUGACAGGUCUACAUUUUGAGAUAUGGAUACUACAAAUAACAUCAAGGAGGUCAGAUUAUCUAGAUUUUUACACCACCACUCAAGAUGACCUCCACAAAGCUCCGCCAUUGCAUGUUUUUUUGGACUCUAUGCGUUAAUUUUAUGAAGCAGGUGACAAAAGGAAUAGCAUUUACUGUUGUGCCUCAGGCAUCAAAAUAUCCUUGGCAGGUACUGUUUCUCUUCAAUAGAGAAAAUGAAUAAAAAUGUUAAGGUUAGCUUACUGUUUCAACUGAGAGAUCAAACCAGGUGGAUCUGAUCAGCAGUACAUUUAGAUCUGUCCUCAUCAACACAAAAGUCAUAAUUAUAGACUAAUGACCAAAAGGUAUUCAAAUGCCGCCUUCUGUCACAACAUCGGACAUAGUUUUCUUUCAAAUAAUAUUUGGCAGAAUGCAACAGAUUCUCUUAACUUGAUAGUGGCCAUAUAUCAGCUACUAAAUCGCUAAAUCAGCUACAGGAAUAUCUCAGACUAUUUCAAGAGAAUCCAUACAGUGAUGGGACUACAGCAGCAGGUCAAAAACUAUCUACAGCCUUAGCUAAUGCUAAGAAAGACCGUUGGAUAGAGCUGCUUGAGAACCUUGACAUGUCCAAGAGUAGCCAAAAAGCCUGGCAACUGCUGAGACAUCUGGAUAGUGAUCCUGUGGUCAACCAUGGACACGCAAACGUGACACCAGACCAGAUAGCUCACCAGCUAAUUCCGAAUGGGAAAACCAACCACAGUAGAAUAAAGAUGAAAAUCAACAGGGUGCCAGAACUUGAAACCCACCAGUUGUCUUCUCCUCUAAACCUGAAAGAACUCAGAGAAGCCAUCAAGCGAUGUAAGACUGGUAAAGCACCUGGCCUAGAUGACCUGAUGAUGGAGCAAAUCAAACACUUGGGCCCCAAAGCUGAAAACUGGCUUUUGAAAUUCUACAAUCAAUGCUUGGCACACAAACAGAUUCCCAGAGCAUGGAGGAAAACUAAGUUCAUUGCCAUUUUAAAACCUGGUAAAGAUGCUUCCAAUGCCAGGAACUAUCGACCAAUCUCCCUCUUAUGUCAUCUAUAUAAAGUCUAUGAGAGGGUGCUAUUAAAUCGACUAGGACCUGUUAUCGAACCCAAGCUUAUUCCACAACAAGCAGGUUUCAGACCAGGGAAAAACUGUACAGGUCAAAUUCUCCAUCUGACUGAGCAUAUCGAGGAAGGCUAUGAGAAAGCUCAUAUUAUAUGCCAGUUCAUAGAAAGAUGUCCUCUUCGUGCCUGCAUUGCAUUACUACUGCUAAAAGAUUGCUGGUAGAUAUGCUAGAAUAUUUGAAAUUGAAGGAUUUUUAAAAUGUGCUAUUGGCUAUAUGAAUUGUUUACACACACAUUUUUAAUCCUAAAACAUUAUAAUGCUAAGCAAUGCUAAGACAUUUAGCAAAUAAGAAAAAGGUUGAGGAAAGAUGCAGUAAAGUUCUGAGAAACAAUGUUGAUUGGCAACUUGUCUGCUGUUAGCCAUCUGGAUGUGCUCAGAGAAUAGAAAAUAUAAAACCUGCGACUGAGAUUGGGUCUAUUUAUUCUGUAAUGUUUCAGCUUAGCCCCAGGCAUUUAUUUGUACAAAGCCAAAGGUUGCAGAAAAACUUAGUGCAUUGCAAUCCUCUCACGCUUGACCACAUCCAGUAGAGAGAGAGUCAUAUAUCUUUGUAAGUGAUACAUCUUGCAAUCUUUUGCGUUGUGGAGCAAGGAAAUCCUGCAGUACUUGUGAGAGGAUAGUUUAGACAGUUUUGAGCUCGAUGGAAAAUGUGUGAAAUCCCAGCUGAUAUUUUUUAAAAGCCCAUGGAAUCUGGCACAGAAAAUGAGUGGAACUUUUGCAUAAGGCAGCUGAUGUUUUUCAGGAUGUGGUUAGAAUCUGACAUCACUGCCAUAGUUCAAGCAACUGCUGUGGGUGACACACAUACUUGGCAUUGUCAGGUCUAUAUAGCAUAGACAAGGGAGCUAUGUUUAGAUUCCAUAGCCCUGUGUUCAGAGAACACAAACCUCUUCCUCCUUGGCCUCUUGGGCUAUCUCUAGCUAUUUUGCUUCCUUAGCAGUUUGGAGAUACUUUAAUAGACAUAUACAUGUUCCUUAGACUACAACUUCACUCUUCAGAGGAUUGCAUGUAUACCAAAGUUUGGAAUUUGGGUGGUAUCAGUAUGUUUAUGAAAUCCAGCUCUAUUUUUUGUCAUCGAAAUCAACUGAGCUUGUGUGGGUGUCACACAAUUUCCUGGAUAUAGUAAUGGGCUGAAUGAAGACAAAUGAAAUGAAGCUGAAUUGUGAUAUUACAGAAUAUUUGUGGACUGAUGGUUCUUUUCAGGAACUGGAUAAAUGACCGACCUGGGAUGCAAUCUUCCUGAAGGUACAGAUGAUAAGCUUGUGAAUACUUCUUGAUCUAGUUCUUCCACUGAAGACCUAAGCUGUUUUGGGUCUUUAGAGACAAGUUUUGAUUAGUGUGCCAGAUGUGGCCUUUUUGGGGAAUGACCUGAGCCAUGAUAGUCCAGGCACUGGUAACUUUCCAGUUAACAUACUGCAGUACACUCUAUGUGGUACUACCUUUGAAGAUGAUCUGGAAGUUGUAGGGAAUAUAAUACAAAAUAGGUGGACUGCCAAAAAAAAUUAUAGAAAUCAUAAAACCAGUUUUAAAGGAAUUGGACCAACUGUCAAAACAUUACAACUCCUGUAUCUGCAGGGAAUAUGUUUUUGAACUUACAGUAGAAACAGAAAACUGUUGAUUGAGCCAUGGUAGCUAAAUUAGUAUCAAACUGUAUCAAACUUGUACAAAUCUGCCCAGGUCCGGAGAUCUUCAGGAGAGGUCUUUCUCUUGGCCCCACCUCCAUCUCAAACCUGGUUGGUGGGAAUGAAAGAGAGGGCCUUCUCUGUGGCUGCUCCACAUCUCUGGAACUCCCUGCCCAGAGAAAAGCCUGCUCCACGCUGUCCUUAAGGUAGCAGGCUAAAACCUUUUUAUUCAGACAGGCUUUUAAAGAUGAGGGUGUCUAAGAUCUUUUUAUUGUUUUGUUGUUAUUAUAUUGUUGUAUCGGGCAAGGCCCCAUGUAAGCCGCCCCGAGUCCCUUCGGGGAGAUGGGGCGGGGUAUAAAAAUAAAGUUGUUGUUGUUAUUAUUAUUAUUAUUAUUAUUAUUAUUAUUAUUAUUAGAUCUAGUCAGAGGGUGCUGUGGUUUUUAACUGUUUUGAUGGAUUUUAUAUUAUUUUUUUUAAUGCUGCUUGUGUUUAAUUCUAUUUAAUGUUUGUAUUUUUGUAUAUUUUAAAUUGUGUGUUAAUUCUUUUAUGUCAAGCCGCUUUGAAUCCCCUUUGUGGAGAUAAAGUGAGGUAUUAAUAAAUAUAAUAAUAAUAAUAAUAAUAAUAAUAAUAAUAAUAAUAAUAAUAAUAUCCUCAGCUGCUGUAAGAAAAUCGCACAGACAGACUACAAACAGAGGCACAACCAUGUGACCCAAAUGAGUCAUUGGAACUUAUGCCUCAAGUACCACCUUCCAGCACUAAAGAACUGGUGGGAUCACAAACCUGCAAAAGUAUUGGAGAAUGAGCAUGCAAAGAUACUGUGGGACUUCCGAAUCCAGACUGACAAAGUUCUGGAACACAACACACCAGACAUCACAGUUGAGGAAAAGAAAAAGGUUUGGAUCAUUGAUGUUGCCAUCCCAGGUGACAGGCGCAUUGACGAAAAACAACAGGAAAAACUCAGCUGCUAUCAGGACCUCAAGAUUGAACUUUAAAGACUCUGGCAGAAACCAGUGCAGGUAGUCCCGGUGGUGAUGGGCACACUGGGUGCAGUGCCAAAAGAUCUCAGCCAGCAUUUGGAAACAAUAGACAUUGACAAAAUUACGAUCUGCCAACUGCAAAAGGCCACCCUACUGGGAUCUGCACGCAUCAUCCGAAAAUACAUCACACAGUCCUAGACACUUGGGAAGUGUUCGAUUUGUGAUUUUGUGAAACGAAAUCCAGCAUAUCUAUCUUGUUUGCUGUGUCAUAAUAAAAUAAUAAUAAUAAGAUACA